GCCUCCUUGGCUCAGUUGGUUAGAGCGCAGGUCUCAUAGUCCUUUCUAUGACAACGCUCUCUGUUGGCAAUCCUGAGGUCGCAAGUUCGAACCUUGCAGGGGGCA